GAGAAACACAGGCAGUGGUACCUGCAAAACCUUUGAGUUCUCCAUCUUUGUCACUGAUUCUGAGAGCCGUGGAGUCAGCUCCAGAGUUUCAGCCAGCAGCAGAAGCAGAGCUGUGGGCAGUGGUGGAGGUAGAGCUGGCUUCAGCUCCGUUGACACCACCCCCUCUAGCACUGGAGCCAGUGUCCCCUCUACCAGCAGUGUUGGAGGUGGAGCAAGGGCCAACAUGGGCUCCAGCAGGAGUGGGAGCUGCUGAGUUGGAGUCACCUGGACCAUCAUUUCUAGUGGGAAGUCCAUCUCCACCUGUGGCUAAGAAGUGUGAGAAGAAGCCCAACCUACGGCCUUCCCUCCUAAGCUGGUGGUGGAGCAGUUGAUCGUGAUGGAUGCAAGCGUAGAGGUGGACACUAACAGGACCUGCUGCACAGAGUGGCUGUGCCGGCUCCUUGAAGAGAAGGAAGGGUGAGCAGGGCCUGGCACAUCAGUAGUGGAGGGGAACUCACUGUAUGCAGCCAGGUCCCUGGUGGCCCAACCGUCUGCUCAGGAAGCUCAACAGCCUCAGGACUUAUUAGACACCUGAUGUGUACUCCACUACAAGGGAGACAGACAAGGCCCGUGGUUGUAGCUGCCAGGGGAGAAUGUGCAUCAGAAUGGGGAGUGUGACCAGAGGGGGAUCAGUGUGUUGGAAGAUGCCCCCUUGGGAUGAGCCGAGGUGAGCCACCAUCUGGAGCUUGGAGUUAGCCAGGACGGGCUGGAUGCAAAUGUCCCUCUCCCUUCCCUGCCAGUAUU